rnacentral:rRNA from 1 species
UACGUAGGGUGCAAGCGUUGUCCGGAAUUAUUGGGCGUAAAGAGCUCGUAGGCGGUUUGUCGCGUCUGCUGUGAAAACUCGGGGCUUAACCCCGGGCCUGCAGUGGGUACGGGCAGACUAGAGUGCGGUAGGGGAGACUGGAAUUCCUGGUGUAGCGGUGAAAUGCGCAGAUAUCAGGAGGAACACUGGUGGCGAAGGCGGGUCUCUGGGCCGUAACUGACGCUGAGGAGCGAAAGCAUGGGGAGCGAACAGG